GGACUUCUGUCCCUCCCCUGCCUCCUGGAGAGCUGCUUCAUGCUGGCCCUCUCCCCUUCUUCCUGCCCAGAAUAAGCCACGCCCCAGGAGGGAGGUGGCCAGUGGUGGUGUGCUAGUAAGCCCGCCCUCUGGGAAAAAGUAAAAGCUAGGUUUGUAGCUUUGGUAUGGGUGUCAGUGCUCCCACUGUGUCUGCUUGAUUCAAGCUGUUGACGGUUUAAUGACCAGCUCACAGAAUUCCUGAACACUGAAGAGUCAGGCUCUCCGGAGCCUGCGUGAGCCAGUCCCACUCACCAGCUUUCUCACCUCAAGCUACUGACACUCAGUACAGAUGGUAGCAGGUAACUAGCACUGGCCUUCUAAUAAAUAGGUUAGCUGGUAACAGGAGGUUAGCCAGCAACCGUGGUAAGAGCCAUUAGCUCUUACCCUCGCUUUGCAGAGGGGGCUGCAACCAGCCCCAUCAGCAUUGCAGGGAGCUUCGUGGGCUUGCCCCAGACCUGCAAACCCAAAGGCUGCGUUGUAAUGUUAUCCCCAGAUAAUCCAAAGGCACUUUAUGGAUUGAGAUGCACUGGCUUAGAUUUUAGCUCUAAAUCAGAUUAACUGAGUUGUCUUAUAACUAACAUUUCAACCGGCACCUCCAGUGUUAGUUGUUCACGAAAGUGUUAGCUGAUAAUUAAAUCAUCCACUCAUGGCCAGGAUGUUAGCUAUUAACCAAAGUAUUAUCCAUAACUGGAGUGUUUGCUACUGAUUAAUAUGUCACACAAUGACUGAGAUGUUAGUGAUUAACAAAUGUAAAAUGUUAGCUUGUAAUUUUAAGGUUUUAGGUAUAACAUAUAUUAGCAAUAUCUUGUGAUUUUAAGGUUUUAGGUAUGCUGAUAAUAUUAGUAAUAGCUUGUAAUUUUAAUGUUGUAGGUGUAGCUGAUGUAUUAGUAAUUGCUUAUAAUUUUAAGGCUUUAGCUAUAUCAGCAGUAGUGAAAAUGUCAGCCAAUGUCUGAAACAUUACUUGUUACUAACUAGAGCCAAACUGCUCCCUGAUAACCUAGACACUGGCUGUUGUCAUGGCUGUGCUGAUGCCAAAGGCUGAUGAUCAGAGGUGUGAGCCUGAACCCAGGGCCCUAAGCUAUAAAGAACAAAGGCGUUUGCUCAUCUGCCUUUAGGCGGUGCUUUGUCGCUGCCUUCCCCAAUGACUCACAUCCCAGAAGAGGGAACAUCUCUUUAAUAUCAAAAAUCCCCCAAAGUCAAAGGAGUGUGUUAAGGUAGCAUUCCAGGUAUAGCUGUGGGCAGUGACCUUAGCUGCACCAGCCACAGAGUGGAACGGGCGGUUGAAGAAUGUGCUCUUCCUGGAUGAAGAGCCCCUAAAGAGGCGAAAUCGUGGAUUUGUACAGAUCCAAGCAAUUACUGCAGUAACCCACCCGGCAAGGCCUGGGACUCCAGGGUUGCAACACGUAGAAUGAGGGUGAUCCUGUGCAACCCCCACCAGUACACACAGUGCCCUCUGCCUGUUUCUUGGGGCAGAGCCACCUGCCAUCCUGAAGCCCGGGCUAGAAAGGAAGCAGCCCAGACCUUGGACAACUGUCCCUGCACACCAGGGAGCACGGUCCUGCCUGGAACAGGCAGGAGCAAGGAACGUGGGUAUUUCCUGCACCUCCUUGGAAAGCACCCUCACUGUGCUACCUGGUUCUGUGUCUUACAAGCACACGAUUUUAUUCCUUUCUUUAAACAAUGGGAAAACUCAGGCUUAUGGACAUCAAGUGAUUUGUCCAAGGUCACUUCCUCUGCUCUGAGCCUGUUUCAUCAUCUAUAAAACAGGUAGUAGUGAGGGCAAAAAUGAGGUGUAUUAAACACCCACACAAUGCUUGGCACAGACAGUUCUGUAAAUGCUAAUUCCCUUCUUUUUAUUUUUUUAUUUUUUUUAUUUUUGAGGCAGGGUCUGGCUUUGUUGCCCAGGCUGGAAUGCAGUGGCAUGAUCUCAACUCACUGCAGCCUCCACUUUCUGGGCUCAAACCAUCCUCCCACCUCAGACUCCUGAGUAGCUGGGACCCCAGGCGCACGCCACCCUGCCCUGCUUAGCUCUGCCUCAGUUUCCCCACACGGAAGUGAGGAAGUGUCUCUGGAGCACUGGUCCUGAGCAGUGCUGCAGACAUCAUCACUUACUGAUGCACUGGUAUUUUUUGAGCCUCUGCUGUGUGCCAGGUGCUUUGUAGAAACAGGGCCAGGGGGCAUGCAGUGGUUUACAAAACAGAAAAUUCCUGUGCUCCAGGAGCUGCUGGCCUGGCAGGAAGAGUCAGGUUGCAACAAAACAAAUGUGAAAAA